rnacentral:rRNA from 1 species
AUUGAACGCUGGCGGCAGGCCUAAUACAUGCAAGUCGAGCGAGCGGCGGACGGGUGAGUACUGCCUGGGAAACUGCCUGACGGCGGGGGAUAACUACUGGAAACGGCAGCUAAUCCCGCAUACCAUCAGCUUUGCCCAGAUGGGAUUCGCUAGUAGGUGGGGUAACGGCUCAACUAGGCAACGAUCCCUAGCGGGUUUGAGAGGAUGACCGGCCACACUGGAACUGAGACACGGCCCAGACUCCUACGGGAGGCAGCAGUGGGGAAUCUUGGACAAUGGGCGAAAGCCUGAUCGAGCCAUGCCGCGUGUGUGAAGAAGGCGUUCGGGUUGUAAAGCACUGUCAGCAGGGAGGCGUUACCCGCAGAAGAAGCAACGGCUAACUACGUGCCAGCCGCCGCGGUAAUAC